ensembl:lncRNA LINC02299 long intergenic non-protein coding RNA 2299
GGACGUGCGUGUGUGUGGAGAGUGGCUGUGAAAGCGACACGGGCUCUGUGGGAAGAGAAGUAAGGAGGACUUCUGGGAAGGAAACGAGGUUCUCGGAUGAGCAGGGGCUGUGAUAUGAAAGUGAUCAAGAGAUGGGACCAUCUAGUUGCAAGAGAACAAGCUCAGGGCUCCCCCUGAUUCUACAUGAUGGAUUUCAGGAAGAUAAAAUAGCCGUGGCAUUUUGAAAACCAGCUCAGAAGAUAUAAGCAUAUGAAAUGGUGAGUGUUUGGUGAACCGCACGGUAGAGUGGUUAAGCAUUUGGUCUUCUGAGUCAGUCGAAACUUUGGCUUAAGGCCCAACUGCAUCAUUUACUAGCUGUGUGACCUUCAGCAAGUGACUUACCUUAUCUGAGCUCCAAUAUCCUUAUCUCUAUACUGGGGGUAAAGUUACCAACCUCCUAAAAUAUUGUGAAGAUUUCUGGAAAUGGUGUUUAUAAAGUAUUGGUGCGGUUCUUGGCAAAUGCUUCAAACUCAAUAAAUGGAAGCUGCCAUCGUCAGUGUCAUCAUCAUCAUCGUUACCAUCAUCACCACCACUGAUGUCAUUAUCAGGAGGAAGAAAAGAAGAAGGAAACAUUUUCUAGGCUUUUAAAACUUGUUUCAUCCACUUCUGACCUCAGAAUAAUUACAAUAAUCUAUUACUGUGUCAUAAUAUCUAAAAGAACCUAUCUCUACCAUUGUGGGAGGAACCAUAUUAGUUCAGCAGAGUAACUGGGUUCACGCUGCCUUCUCUACCUUCUCAGGCUUCUCUGUGAGGCUUGGUAGAACGAUUUACUCUUCUUCCUGCAUUCUUACUGUGUGGAGUCUGUGUGCCUCCAGUUAGCCCUCGCCUCAUUACCCUUUCCUGUGUCAACAGCUGUGAUUGAUAUCGGGAUGGAUUCGAAGUGAGGCAGCUAGCAGCGUGACCUUGAGCAAAUCAGUUCAUUUCACUGGGGCUUUGUCUCUUCAUCUGGACACUGGGGUCGUAUCACCCACCUCACAAGGUUACAUGAGAUGGUUUUCCCAGCAUGUAAUAGGUUCUCAUAAAGAUCAUAGUUACUAGAAUUAGUGGACGUGUCUGGUUUUCCCACUGUAUUGUAAACGUGUUAAGGACUGUAUUAGUCUGCGCUCAUGCUGCUAAUAAAGUCAUACCUGAGACUG